rnacentral:rRNA from 1 species
GUAGGGAAUAUUGGGCAAUGGAGGCAACUCUGACCCAGCCAUGCCGCGUGCAGGAAGACGGUCCUCUGGAUUGUAAACUUCUUUUAUAAGGGACGAAAAAAGGCUUUUCUAAGUCGUCUGACGGUACCUUAUGAAUGAGCACCGGCUAACUCCGUGCCAGCAGCCGCGGUAAUACGGAGGGUGCAAGCGUUAUCCGGAUUCACUGGGUUUAAAGGGUGCGUAGGCGGGCAGGUAAGUCAGUGGUGAAAUCCUAGAGCUUAACUCUAGAACUGCCAUUGAUACUAUCUGUCUUGAAUAUUGUGGAGGUAAGCGGAAUAUGUCAUGUAGCGGUGAAAUGCUUAGAUAUGACAUAGAACACCUAUUGCGAAGGCAGCUUACUACGCAUAUAUUGACGCUGAGGCACGAAAGCGUGGGGAUCAAACAGGAUUAGAAACCCCUGUAGUCC